AUUGAACGCUGGCGGCAGGCCUAACACAUGCAAGACGAGCGGAUGAUGGUAGCUUGCUACCUGAUUCAGCGGCGGACGGGUGAGUAAUGCCUAGGAAUCUGCCUGGUAGUGGGGGACAACGUUUCGAAAGGAACGCUAAUACCGCAUACGUCCCACGGGAGAAAGUGGGGGAUCUUCGGACCGCACGCUAUCAGAUGAGCCUAGGUACGAUUAGCUAGUUGGUGAGGUAAAGGCUCACCAAGGCGACGAUCGUUAACUGGUCUGAGAGGAUGAUCAGUCACACUGGAACUGAGACACGGUCCAGACUCCUACGGGAGGCAGCAGUGGGGAAUAUUGGACAAUGGGCGAAAGCCUGAUCCAGCCAUGCCGCGUGUGUGAAGAAGGUCUUCGGAUUGUAUAGCACUUUAAGUUGGGAGGAAGGGCAGUAAGUUAAUACCUUGCUGUUUUGACGUUACCGACAGAAGAAGCACCGGCUAACUUCGUGCCAGCCGCCGCGGUAAAAC
rnacentral:rRNA from 1 species